AACGAACGCUGGCGGCAUGCCUAACACAUGCAAGUCGAACGAGACCUUCGGGUCUAGUGGCGCACGGGUGCGUAACGCGUGGGAACCUGCCCUUAGGUUCGGAAUAACUCCCCGAAAGGGGUGCUAAUACCAGAUAAUGUCUUCGGACCAAAGAUUUAUCGCCUUUGGAUGGGCCCGCGUUGGAUUAGCUAGUUGGUAGGGUAAAAGCCUACCAAGGCGACGAUCCAUAGCUGGUCUGAGAGGAUGAUCAGCCACACUGGGGCUGAGACACGGCCCAGACUCCUACGGGAGGCAGCAGUGGGGAAUAUUGGACAAUGGGCGAAAGCCUGAUCCAGCAAUGCCGCGUGAGUGAUGAAGGCCGUAGGGUUGUAAAGCUCUUUUACCCGGGAUGAUAAUGACAGUACCGGGAGAAUAAGCUCCGGCUAACUCCGUG
rnacentral:rRNA from 1 species